UCUCAACUCCUCAAUAAAUACCUUGAUGGAGCCAACUCGGGGAUCCUUGUCUAGGGUCAUCGCUUUGGACAACAGGAGGGGAUUGUACUCAAAGGAUAUAGAAG